rnacentral:rRNA from 1 species
AACUAACAAGGAUUCCCCUAGUAGCGGCGAGCGAAGCGGGAAGAGCUCAAAUUUAUAAUCUGGCACCUUCGGUGUCCGAGUUGUAAUCUCUAGAAGUGUUUUCCGCGUUGGACCGCACACAAGUCUGUUGGAAUACAGCGGCAUAGUGGUGAGACCCCCGUAUAUGGUGCGGACGCCCAACGCUUUGUGAUACACUUUCGAAGAGUCGAGUUGUUUGGGAAUGCAGCUCAAAUUGGGUGGUAAAUUCCAUCUAAAGCUAAAUAUUGGCGAGAGACCGAUAGCGAACAAGUACCGUGAGGGAAAGAUGAAAAGCACUUUGGAAAGAGAGUUAACAGUACGUGAAAUUGUUGGAAGGGAAACGCUUGAAGUCAGACUUGCUUGCCGAGCAAUCGGUUUGCAGGCCAGCAUCAGUUUUCUGGGGUGGAUAAUGGUAGAGAGAAGGUAGCAGUUUCGGCUGUGUUAUAGCUCUUUGCUGGAUACACCUUGGGGGACUGAGGAACGCAGUGUGCCUUACGGCGGAUUUCUCGAGAUCUUCACACUUAGGAUGCUGGUGGAAUGGCUUUAAACGACCCGUCUUGAAACACGGACCAAGGAGUCUAACAUGCUUGCGAGUAUUUGGGUGUCAAACCCGGAUGCGUAAUGAAAGUGAAUGGAGGUGGGAACCGCAAGGUGCACCAUCGACCGAUCUGGAUUUU